AGCUGAGGACAGGCACUCCUGCCUUCCACCUAAAUUUUGCAUUUCCCGAGACACCUUGGCCCGCCAUUCCCCCGUCCUGUGCCUGUAAAAACUCCAGGCCCUAGAAGGCACACACGCACAAGUGGCUGGACUUCGUGAGGAAUUCAUAGGGGAAGAAGAUGCAAGUGGCUGGUCAUGGAGAGGACUUUUUGACGAGCGCCGGCAAAAGAGCACAGCGAAGAAAUCCCAGGAUACGGAAAGCCCUCUGUACUUGCAACAAGAGUCUCACUGUGUCAGCCAGGCUGGAGUGGCAUGAUCUUGGCUCACUGCAACCUCCGUCUCCCGGGCUCAAGCAAUUCUCCUGCCUCAGCCUCCAGAGUAGCUGGGAUUACAGAAUGUUUAUGUGCUAUUGCAUAGUCCCUGGCGUGCCAUCUGUUCCUGCAGUCAAGACCAGUAAACUCAGGUAUGAGCCUUGCAAGAAGACAUACAUAUUUUGCUGAUUGCCAAGGGGAUAAUGCAUUGGGUAUAAGAAGAAGGAAAGUAGAGGAACCAAUUAAGAAAUAUUUACUACAAUUAAGAAGAGAUGAUAAUAACUUCGACCAAGGUGGAGGCUAUGAAGAUGGAGCAAUGCGAAUACAUGGAGACAUGUUUUUGAUGUAGACUCAGCAAGAAAUUCUAAUAUAUUAGAUUUUAUGUUUUGGGAGAAAAAGAGACAUCUCCAAGAUUAUGGCUUGAAUAGAUUGGGACUAAUAGUGAAACUUGAGAGUGAUCACAUAUGGAGAUGAAAGAUUGAAAGACCUCUCGCUGAACAUAAUAUAGAAGGUCUAAAAUACUCUCAAGUCCCCUCCAUCUCAAAAUGACAGCAGUAACAGUGAAAACUAAACAUAGCUGUACCAAGGGCCUGUGUAUCUUACUUCGCCCUCCUUGUGAGUUGCCACUUCCUGUUCAUCCUCCUAUCAACGUGAUAUAAACACCAAAAUAGACCAAAGUAAUUAUCUGGGGAAUGUCCAGAGGGUGUUUACCUUCAGAAAAUUAACAGCUUUGAGACUAAAUCGAUGACCCAGCAAGAAGGUUCUCAUCAGUGGCUGACCAGAUGCCAGAAACAUGCCAUUGGAGUGCCCAGCCUUCAGAACAGUGAGCCAAACCAAUUUCUGUUCAUUAUAAAUUACCCAGUCUCAGCUAUGCAGUUAUAGCAGCACAAAGCAGGCAAGACACCAGUUAUCUUUUAAUAUUUUAAGGUGACACUAAUCAAUUUUUUUCAAAUAUAUAAUAUUGUUUCUUUUUUUUUUCUGGGGAAAUGAAUAGUUUAAGAAGUUUCCAAUGGGCCUUCCCCACUAUAAUACCUCUUACCACACAAACCAACAAAUCAAUGUUGGGAUUCUGCCAACUACCAAGUCUCUUUAUUCAGGUUAUAUUUAGAAAUCAGGAACAUGCCCACUGGACAGUUCAUAGAUCCAUUAGAUCCAUAGUGAACCAGACAUGUUCCAGAACUUCAUUAAUAAUGUCACUCUAACAAGAGGAAAAUGGUGGUGCUUUGGGUCCACAGAUAUCAAUGCCAAUUCAGAUCCAUAUCCAAUAAUCCCCAAAAGGUGUGGCUACGUCCUUUCCUUCAAAUGUCCUUAUUUACUACGUAAUUGUCAGUUAUUUUCAGAAAGAAUAGGAGGAAUUACUUUUUAAUAUACUUGUGGUGUUGCCUCAUCCUUUCUCACGCCGCUGAUUCUGGAUCUGAGAACUGUACUCAGGUCUUAGGACUGGGAAAGGGAAAACAAUAUUUUAUUAGUAUAGUUGCAUUCAGUCUCCUAAUUAUCCAUUCUUUAUUUAUUUUAAUUAUGUAAAUUUAGAAACAUAUUUGAUGGUUUCCUAAGUUGUCUUUGAAAAUAUUGUGUUAUAUUAAUCAUAUGUAUAAUCAUAUCACUAGUCAUAUAUCAUGCAUAUAUAUAAUCAUAUAUAUAACAUCUCUGAGGUGCAUGCCUCCUCUGCCUGCCACUUCAGCUUUGGUUCCCAGGGUGGUAAAUGUGUCCUUCUUGCUUUGACAGUUAAGAGCCACUAUCUGGCUUCUUUUUAUUUCAGGAUACUCUCAUACCUGUUUCUUUCAGGGAGGCCAGUCCUGUCACAGUAUUCCCUGGCCUACAGAGGAGAACCAUACUGAGUUCAGAAAUGACGGUGCCUUUUUCACCAGUGUAAUGCGUGUUGCUUUAGUGAAUUAGCUGUGCUUCUAAUCUUUCUUGCAAUAUAGUUUACUGAUGGUUAUUCUGAUCUUACAUAGUAUGCCACUGUAGCAUGCACAUUUAAUGCCUUCGUCUUCUAUCUGUCACACAAUUCUGGCACUUCUGCUACAUUUAUAUGGGCCAUUACUUUUUCAAACUUCCCUAGUGCCUUUCUGCUGAUAUAUCAGUGUUUCCUGGUGUCCUUGCCAGUGUGUUAAAUUACAUAUCAUGAGAGAGUGCUCCAUAUUGAUAAAGUAUCUCAUAUCCAACUCUAAGUUCUAUGCUCCUUUUUACAUCACCUUCAGAUCCAGUUUCAUUCAUGUUCUCCUGGCUCCCAUGGUACCUAUUAGACAGCUGCUACAAUUCCUUUACAUAUAGUCUCUUUCUUCCCUUAACUAGUUCAGCACUUGUCUCAUUGGAAUGUGCUGGUAAUUAACCCUUAUUAUUGGAAUAUUUGCCUGGAAGGGAAAAAGGAUAGUUCCUUAGUGUGUGGGGGUCUUAGACGGAAGCAUUGUCUUUUAAAGGACCUAAGUCAUUUGAAAUUUCUGUAUUAUCUCCAAGCAAUGCUUUCUUUAAAAUAAUACCACUGUCUUGUAUCAAAGGAAUUAGAAGAUGCUUCCACCAAAAAAGAGCAUUUGGGGGGAAAAUAGAACUUCAAGGUUUUCAGCUACGUCUAAUCAAUUAUCUUCAUUCCAAAUCUAAGGGGAAUAUUUCUUUCUUGUUAGUAUCUUGACAUUGGCUUACAAAACCUGCUGAGGCUGAGAAUCCAACUAUCUCUGAAGCUCCACUAGUUGUAUUAUUAACUUUUGAAUUUAGUCCUCUAGUGACUGCCCACCAGUGGCAGAUGAUUAGAGUCUCCUUAGAUUCUGCCAAGAAUCCUUCUGGCUUUCACAUUUUACCUUGGAAUGAUAACUAAUUAAUCACCUGAGCUCAUCAUUAUCGAUGCUUAAAUUAAAAUAAAAUGAUUCUCAAUAAAGUCUAUUUACUUUGUAGCCCUUAUACUUACUAUUUUCUAUAUGACAUUAAGUUCCAGAAGUAAUUACAUAGCCAGUGUGUCUUCUUCUACCAGUACUGCACUUGAGUUCUGAGUUCACUACUUGCAACAAUUUUAUCAACUGUGAAAGGUGAAGUCUACUCAUCCUCCAUUUACCACCAGCAAUGCAGCCCUCAUUGCUAGAUGGCCUGAACAUUUUGAUCCAGCUUUGGAAUAUUAUUCUACAGUUUGUUUUCUAGGACCCCUUCUAGUAACAACAGAAUCAUAUGAAGUUCCCUAGACAUAGUCUCUAAGAUGGAGAGUUUUAUGCAGAGAGGAUUUAUUGGGGAAUGCUCUUGGUAGAUGUUAUCUGUGAUGAACCAAAAAAAGCAGGAUUGAGCAGAAAGAGAAGUCAACCCAUAACACAGUUUCAAUAAAGCUUUAGAACUGGAAUGGCUCUUCAGUGUUUUUCUGACAUGAAAUAUAGUGUCUAGGCCUUUAUAUCAUUGCAUGAUCCAGUGACGGAGUAUGGUGUCUCCCUAGUAGGAGAAUACUUUUAGAAUAGAGUUCUCUGUGGCCAAGGGCAAUUUCAAGGGAGGAAGUCACCUCUGAGCUAUCAGUCUCAGACAUCCUCAGUAGCUGGGGUAUACAAGGUUUACCAGAGUGUCAAUUAUCUAUUAUAGCAUACACACGGAAAAAUUUACAAGUGUAUGUGUACACCUGUAUUUGAUAAAUUAUUAUAUAGAAAGCAUACACAUAUAGCCACUAUACAGUUCAAGAAAUGUAACACCUUUAAACUGCAGAAACCUUUACAGGGCCUACUUAGUUAUUAACCCCAUUUCCACAAUAAAAAUAAAUUACCUAACUUUUAGCACCAUAGCUUAGUUUAGCUUGUUUUCAAACUUUGCAUAAAUUGAAUCAAAGCAGUGGGAUUUUCGUGUCUAACAUUCUUCUUUCAAUAUUAUGAUUUGGGAAUUCACUGGAGUGAUUAUAUACAUCAGUUGUUCAUUAAAUAUAUUUUUGUAUGAAUAUAUUACAAUGUGUUAUUCUAAGUUUGAUUGACGUUUUAGUUGUUUCUAAUUUUUUACUGUUAUCAAUAAUGCAGCAAUAACAUGUUUACACCUAUAUUUUGGUGAAAAUAGAUAUGUAAUUCUGUUGUAGUUAUACAAAAGAGUAAAACUUGUAACAGAUUCAAAAGAUACUAUCAAACAGGGUUUUUGCCAGAGGUUAGAUCAAUACAUAGUCCCACUAGAAGAAAAUUGAUGCUUCAGUUGGCCUGCAUCUUCUCCCACACUUACACUUAAGAGUAGUCAGAGUUCUUUUUAAUUUAUCAUUUUAUUUUAGUUGGUAUGGAAUACUAUCUCUUUGUAGUUUAAUUCACCCAAGAUAUAACACCUUAAAAAUGUAUAUUGAUAUUUUUAUGUAAAACUCAAGACUACAGAACUUUGAUGUUUUUGUUAUCUCUUGGUUCUAAAGAAGAAGAUGAUAAAAUUUGGAUAUUCAAUAAUUUCUCAUUUGUUAUAUAUUACUUUUAGAAUAACAGUACAAGUAUUAGCACUUAAAUGACUAUUGAUCAUUUUACUUUUUAUCUUUCUCCAUUGUUUACCACAAUCCCUUCAUAAACAAAUGGUCAGAAUGCAUAGUCAUUGUAUACUGUCUUCGUCUUAGCUCUCAUGUCAUCUUAAUUCUAUGGGCAACCAUAUGGUUAAUGCUCACAUCAGUCCUUAUGUCUGGGUCUCUCUGGUCAUUGUGGUUAUCUAUAUGUUAUUCUAUGGUAUAUUUUGGAGGAAAUGCUCAUGGGAACAUUAUUUUUUGAGUGCUUUCAUGUUGUUAAAAGCUUAUCUGUGCACUUUGUCAGUUUUGGAUAUAAAACCAUUGGCUUAUACAUUUUUUUUUCUUGAGUAAAUUAAACAUUUUUCUCAAUUUUCUUCUUUCUUAAAAUGUGGCUCUGGAAAUUGUCAUGAUAAUUUAAUAUACUUUCCCAUAUAAGUCAAAUACUAUAUUUUCUAGGUGCAUAAAUAAUUUGUCCUUUUCUAAUAAUUUUACUGGAAUGUGUAAUGGUAUUGGUGACUCUGGGGCAACACUCUUAGAUUUAUGGUUUGCUAUGUCAGUAUAUAUUUCAAGUCUUUUACAUUAUUAUUUCAGGGAAGUUAUUUUAUUAUCUCGCUUUGGCUUUCAUUUCUGUAACUUCUAUUAAAUACUUUAAACCUUUUCUGCCUAUCUUUGAUAUUUGUCAUUUUUUAAAAUUAUUUUCAUCUCUUCUAAUUUUUAAUACUACUUUUAAAAUGUACUCUUUUAUACAUUCUAUUUCUCUUAAAGAUUAUCUACAUUUAUUCAUUAUAAUUUUCUUCUUACUUUAGUAUUAUUUUCUAAAUAAUUAUUUUUAUUUUUGUUUCCUGAAGACUGACAUAUUAUUUCUGAAUUUUUUUAAAUUUUUAUUUAUGUUAUAUUGUUCUUUUAUGUCUUGUAUCAUUUCCUUAGUGUCAUUUAGCUUUCUUAUGGGUGUAUCUUUAUGAUAUGCUUUCAUUGUUGGGGUAUAUUCUUCUUAUUCUUUUUCUUGUAAUAAUUUUAUAUUGUACAUUUUUAUGUAAAAUUAGGCUCCAUACACUUUUAGGAUGAAGGGACAUUUCAAGAAAGCUUUGAUAACUUCACAUGGCUCCCCUCUGCUGUUCUCUGUAAUGCUCAAAUGCUGGCAGCUUACUUUCUGAGAUAUUCUGCAUCUAGACUCCUCACCCACUUUGGUUUAGAUCUUUUUUUAUUUGUCUCUACUGCCCCUGUCCUCCUCAAUUUUGAUUCUUCUCUCAGAAGUUUUUCUUUAAUCUGAGGCCUUGUCCCCCAGUGGAGAGCUGGAGGGCCAGUUUUUCAAGUUCAUAGGCACCAGACUGUUCCAGCAGUUAAUUAUCUUUUUUUGUAAAACUUUGACACAUUUUAUUAUUCUCUUGAGAGAUACUAGGGAAGUGGGUUCCACAUUAAAUAGUAAGAAUGUUAAAAUUUUCAAAUGUAUUGAUAUAUGAUCCCAAACUUCUUUCAUGAUAUUUCAUGCCGAUUUUAUCCUUAUCAGAAUGGAAUCACAAGCCCCAUCUUAUCAUACACAUCCAGGUCCUGAAUAUUGUUUUUUAUGCUUGACAAUUUAAUAGGUAAAAGGUGGUUUAUCAUUGCUAAUUUAAUUUGCAUCUCAGUUUACACAAACAAAUAUGCUUAUAUGCCUCAGUAAUAUGAUAUCCAUGAGUUAAGUGGUAUGUGUGGUUCGCAAACUCUGAAGUAAUUGUAGCAACUCUUGGACAUUAGAUGAGGCAUCAAAAUCCAGAUUUAUUGUGACUGGCUUUCUUUCAUUAUUCAUGUCAGAAUUAAAGAAUUCUUCCAGACUCUUGUCAUGAUGCUCCUCUUCCUGCUGCCCUGCCAGUCUCUUCUCUUCUGAUGAUGCUCCUUAAUUCCUCAAUAGUUUUAACACAAAGUUUCUCCUUUAUACCACAUAUUUUUCACACUAAUGGCUGCUGAUCCACCACAGUGCUUAAACUCCAGCACACAAGCACACACACAUAUACACACACAAUCACAGAUGCCUUAUUUUCUCACAAAAAUGAUCUUUUUCCUACAAAUCUGGACACUCUAAAAUUCUAGUGUAAAAGCUGAAGUUUCACAAGCACUCCUAGGAUCCUAAGGUUUCAUUUUGCAGUCUAGAAAAGAGGUCACAGGCCUAAGAAGCUUUCAAAUAUUCAUCACGUGACAAUUCCCAAGUGAGUAGAUUUAGAAUCUAAACCCUUUUCUUUUUAAAAAAUGCAUUAAAACAUCAAGUAUUUAGAGUCUAUGGUCUUUGAAUAAUAUUAAAAUUACCUAUUACAGUGCAUUUUAAGAUAUAUAUAGUAAAAAUUAGAGUGAUUCAUAAGUGUAAUAAUAACCUGAUAUUUCUAAAAUCUGAUUAGAAUAAAUCAAACCAGAUUUUUAUUCAAAUAUCUUCUGUUCAUAGGUCCAUGAGUGUUUCUUGUGAGGGGGCAGAGGAGAGUCAAUGAGUGGGUGUGUGUCAGGGUGGGCUGCCUGCCUCUUCUGCAAACUUUGGUUCUUUUCCAUAGGUUUGGUUAACUUUUAUGCCCUGUCUGCUUCUAACUAGGCCUAGACAGAUUAGCAUGACAUUUUGAUGGGAAAUUGCAUAAGAUUUGCUAAUUUUGCCAUUAAGAGAUGAUUUUCUCUUCUUAACCCACUCCUCCAUUCUGCAACACAAAGGCCUUACUUAAUAUGAUAAUUUAACUAGUUUCAGUGUACAGUAUUAAGAGAAAGGAGGAAGAAUUUUUCGUGAAAGAUCUUCUUGGUUAUUACCAAAAUAAAUACUUCUAGAAAUGUUAUUUUAUAAUUUUAAGCUUAUUUUAAGUUUGCUUAAGCUUUAUUGAUUCCAUUUCAUAAAGAACAAUUCCUUAAUCAUGAAAGAAAUUACCAAUGCUGGUAUACUGUUUUAAAAUCAUGACAAUAAACAAAUGCUAUCUUGCAUUUAAUUUUUCUCUAUAUUUUGAUUAUCUGAGUUAGGUUACAGAAUACUCUACCCCUACUUUCUAAAAUGAAUUUUUAAAGAAGUUAAAAACGAUCAUUUUUCUGAAUAUAUACUACCAUUUACUAAUGAGUUAUCUCUUUUUCUCUAGCAUUGUGAUUAGUAUGUCAUAAUUUUGUUCAUUCAGCAUUCUGAUAAGAAAAGUAAUAAAAAAUACAAAACAAAAUUAAAAUGCACAAUUAGAUAUAUUACCAUAACUUGGCUUUGCCCUUUCAAGUAAUUUUAUUGAUUUUCCUAAAUCUACAUAUGUUUUAUAGUAAAACCAAAUUUACUAGAAAUUAUACUUCUUUCUAAAGCCAAAAUGUCACCUGAAAUUUGCCAAGCAUUUCUGAGUUCAGACCGAGUGGUGUCCAGCUGUCUGUUCUCACGGUCCAAUAACAAGAUACAGGCAGACUGGGAAAGAAGGGAGUUUAUUUCUACAACUGGUUACAGUGAGAAGAUCGGAGUAACUCACCAGACCAACUCAAAGUUAAAAGUGUUCUCUAGUGCUUGUAUACAUUCAAUGCACCUACAAACUGAAAACCAAAGUGUUUUACUCUAUCUAAUCUUUAAUUAGGGUACUGGGCCUAGACAAUUACUUCAGACCCUUGGAAAAAUUAUCUAUCUAAAGUGGGUUCUGGUACAAGGUGUGUAAGACCUUAUCCAUUACUUUAAUUAAACUCUAAGGUUCUGAGAAAGCAUAGGUGUGGUCUUAAUGGACUUGUUUUUACGUUCUAGCCUUUGUACCAAGGUACCAGUUUCUUCUUUUAAUGUUUAACUUACACAUUCAUCAGAGUUACAUUAAGGUGUUGGUGAAGGCCGACUGCUCUGGUUGCUGAUGGAAACCUGGCUUGCCACAUUUUGAGAGUUUUAAUACCCAGCAAAUGUUACUUGUACUUGAAAAUUUUGUUUUGAUUUUCUCAAACUUGUCCCUUACAUAACAACUCUGUUUUGCUCUUUGCAUGACCUUCUUUCCAAUGAAAAUUUUAAUUUCAUAUAUAUGUAAGAGAAGUCAUUUAAAUACCAUUUUGUGCUUCUCUUUUUAGUAGCUCUUAUCUCAAACAAGAA
rnacentral:lncRNA from 10 species